GUUAAUGUAGCAAAGCCUGGUUUUGCAAAAGAUCUAAGCCCUUUCCACAGAGAUUCAAAUCCUCUCAUUAACU
rnacentral:tRNA from 1 species